UACGUAGGGUCCGAGCGUUGUUCGGAAUUACUGGGCGUAAAGGGCGCGUAGGCGGCCACCGCAAGUCGACUGUGAAAUCUCCGGGCUUAACCCGGAAAGGUCAGCCGAUACUGCGGGCUAGAGUGCAGAAGGGGCAACUGGAAUUCUCGGUGUAGCGGAUGAAUGCGUAGAUAUCGAGAGGAACACCUGCGGCGAAGGCGGGUGCUGGGCUGACACUGACGCUGAGGCGCGAAAGCUAGGGGAGCGAACGGG
rnacentral:rRNA from 1 species